AUUGAACGCUGGCGGCAGGCUUAACACAUGCAAGUCGAGCGGGGUGAUGGUGCUUGCACUAUCAUUUAGCGGCGGACGGGUGAGUAAUGCUUAGGAAUCUGCCUAUUAGUGGGGGACAACAUCUCGAAAGGGAUGCUAAUACCGCAUACGUCCUACGGGAGAAAGCAGGGGAUCACUUGUGACCUUGCGCUAAUAGAUGAGCCUAAGUCGGAUUAGCUAGUUGGUGGGGUAAAGGCCUACCAAGGCGACGAUCUGUAGCGGGUCUGAGAGGAUGAUCCGCCGCACUGGGACUGAGACACGGCCCAGACUCCUCCGGGAGGCAGCAGUGGGGAAUAUUGGACAAUGGGGGGAACCCUGAUCCAGCCAUGCCGCGUGUGUGAAGAAGGCCUUAUGGUUGUAAAGCACUUUAAGCGAGGAGGAGGCUCUUUUGGUUAAUACCCAAGAUGAGUGGACGUUACUCGCAGAAUAAGCACCGGCUAACUCUGUGCCAGCAGCCGCAGUAA
rnacentral:rRNA from 1 species